UGGGGAAUAUUGGACAAUGGGCGAAAGCCUGAUCCAGCCAUGCCGCGUGUGUGAAGAAGGUCUUCGGAUUGUAAAGCACUUUAAGUUGGGAGGAAGGGCAUUAACCUAAUACGUUAGUGUUUUGACGUUACCGACAGAAUAAGCACCGGCUAACUCUGUGCCAGCAGCCGCGGUAAUACAGAGGGUGCAAGCGUUAAUCGGAAUUACUGGGCGUAAAGCGCGCGUAGGUGGUUUGUUACGUUGGAUGUGAAAUCCCCGGGCUCAACCUGGGUGCUGCAUUCAAAACUGACUGACUAGAGUAUGGUAGUGGGUGGUGGAAUUUCCUGUGUAGCGGUGAAAUGCGUAGAUAUA
rnacentral:rRNA from 1 species